CCCUUGACUCUCAGCCCAUGUCCAGUCAGGUGAGGUGCCCAGAGUACCUCCCGAGCAGCACCACCGCCUUGCUGACAGUGACUGUGUGUCCCCUAGCAACCCUCGAUGAUGUUGUGGAGGCCGGCGGGAGUGAGAAGACGGAGGAAGAGGCCCUGGCUGGGGCAAAUGAGGAGGAGGUGGGGCCGGGAACUGAGAAGGUGCAGGAGGAGGCUGCCUGCAUUGACGAGGCAGAGGAGGAGGCAGGCCCAUCCCUUGAAAAUGACGAGGAGUCCCCAGCCAGCGACCUGGUUGAGCAGGAAGACCAGCUUGCCCCCAAGGUGGACGGGAUGGACGAUGAAAGCCGUAAGUAUUCUGGAACCCGGCUCUGCUGAGGAGAAGUCCAGGUGUUGAGGAAGGGCGGGGGGUGCUUUCCUGCCCCUUUGGUUGCAGAGACACCCUGAUUCUGGGUUCCUCCUGGGAAAGGGGGUGACGGAUGGGGUGAAAGAGACUGACUUCCCACAAAAGGGCCAUCCCAAGUCCUCGGGUCCCUGGAGGAAAGGAGGCUCUUUGUAUGGUGGGGGUAGGUGUCCGGGAACAUUGGGGGGUGUGCGUGUGAGGGCCUGUUGGUGUGAUUGUGAACCAGUGUGAGUGGGUGUGUUUUGUGGGGAGUCACUUGUGCCUUAGCACCACAUAGCUGUCCAGUUUCUCGUUGAACAGUCUCAUGAUGACCGCAGGCUAACUGUCCAUUCCCUCAUUCUCCCUGCACCCGCUGGGAGCAAGGUUUGGGGAAAAGGCUUUCCUUCCUCUGUUGGUCUUUCGUUUCCUCUUUUCUUCCCCCUCUGCUUGGUGCAGACUUUCAUGCUGUUGUUUCAAACAUGUGCCAUGAACUCGAGCCUCUUGAGGUUGUAAGUGUCCC
rnacentral:lncRNA from 1 species